rnacentral:rRNA from 1 species
GGUCAAGUGAAGAAGCGCAUACGGUGGAUGCCUUGGCAGUCAGAGGCGAUGAAAGACGUGGUAGCCUGCGAAAAGCUUCGGGGAGUCGGCAAACAGACUUUGAUCCGGAGAUCUCUGAAUGGGGGAACCCACCUAGGAUAACCUAGGUAUCUUGUACUGAAUCCAUAGGUGCAAGAGGCGAACCAGGGGAACUGAAACAUCUAAGUACCCUGAGGAAAAGAAAUCAACCGAGAUUCCCUUAGUAGUGGCGAGCGAACGGGGAUUAGCCCUUAAGCUUCAUUGAUUUUAGCGGAACGCUCUGGAAAGUGCGGCCAUAGUGGGUGAUAGCCCCGUACGCGAAAGGAUCUUUGAAGUGAAAUCGAGUAGGACGGAGCACGAGAAACUUUGUCUGAACAUGGGGGGACCAUCCUCCAAGGCUAAAUACUACUGACUGACCGAUAGUGAACCAGUACCGUGAGGGAAAGGCGAAAAGAACCCCGGAGAGGGGAGUGAAAUAGAACCUGAAACCGUAUGCGUACAAGCAGUGGGAGCCUACUUGUUAGGUGACUGCGUACCUUUUGUAUAAUGGGUCAGCGACUUAUAUUCAGUGGCAAGCUUAACCGUAUAGGGUAGGCGUAGCGAAAGCGAGUCUUAAUAGGGCGUUUAGUCGCUGGGUAUAGACCCGAAACCGGGCGAUCUAUCCAUGAGCAGGUUGAAGGUUAGGUAACACUGACUGGAGGACCGAACCCACUCCCGUUGAAAAGGUAGGGGAUGACUUGUGGAUCGGAGUGAAAGGCUAAUCAAGCUCGGAGAUAGCUGGUUCUCCUCGAAAGCUAUUUAGGUAGCGCCUCAUGUAUCACUCUGGGGGGUAGAGCACUGUUUCGGCUAGGGGGUCAUCCCGACUUACCAAACCGAUGCAAACUCCGAAUACCCAGAAGUGCCGAGCAUGGGAGACACACGGCGGGUGCUAACGUCCGUCGUGAAAAGGGAAACAACCCAGACCGCCAGCUAAGGUCCCAAAGUUGUGGUUAAGUGGUAAACGAUGUGGGAAGGCUUAGACAGCUAGGAGGUUGGCUUAGAAGCAGCCAUCCUUUAAAGAAAGCGUAAUAGCUCACUAGUCGAGUCGGCCUGCGCGGAAGAUGUAACGGGGCUCAAACCACACACCGAAGCUGCGGGUGUCACGUAAGUGACGCGGUAGAGGAGCGUUCUGUAAGCCUGUGAAGGUGAGUUGAGAAGCUUGCUGGAGGUAUCAGAAGUGCGAAUGCUGACAUGAGUAACGACAAUGGGUGUGAAAAACACCCACGCCGAAAGACCAAGGGUUCCUGCGCAACGUUAAUCGACGCAGGGUUAGUCGGUUCCUAAGGCGAGGCUGAAAAGCGUAGUCGAUGGGAAACAGGUUAAUAUUCCUGUACUUCUGGUUACUGCGAUGGAGGGACGGAGAAGGCUAGGCCAGCUUGGCGUUGGUUGUCCAAGUUUAAGGUGGUAGGCUGAAAUCUUAGGUAAAUCCGGGGUUUCAAGGCCGAGAGCUGAUGACGAGUCGUCUUUUAGAUGACGAAGUGGUUGAUGCCAUGCUUCCAAGAAAAGCUUCUAAGCUUCAGGUAACCAGGAACCGUACCCCAAACCGACACAGGUGGUCGGGUAGAGAAUACCAAGGCGCUUGAGAGAACUCGGGUGAAGGAACUAGGCAAAAUGGCACCGUAACUUCGGGAGAAGGUGCGCCGGCUAGGGUGAAGGAUUUACUCCGUAAGCUCUGGCUGGUCGAAGAUACCAGGCCGCUGCGACUGUUU